UUAAAAGAAAGGAAAAACACGCCUAAGCUGAUAUAGGCUACAGCAGUCGGCUUAAUUAAAUAGCACAACAGGCAGCUCUCUUUUAACACAGACUUUUAAGAAGGGAUGGAUGUUUGCUUCAAGUGAUAGGCCAGUUUCUCUGACGCUGUCAAAAUUUGCCGGGUGACGGUGGAUGCAAUGUGACUCCUGAUUAGUUGCUCUGGCAACCUCGGGAAUGUUCACUGGUGGCCAUGGCAACGACUGAAGCAUGGCGAUGGAGCCCUACAGAUUAUUUAGAUUUAGAAUGGGAAAGAGAAUAUAGAGGCAGACUGGCAUGCCACAAUGUCAUCACGGAGAUGAUGUCGCUCUUCAAUAAUACUGAUACAUUACUGACAUCUGCUGUGACUCAUUGUGACACCAUUUAAAGCACUGGCACAGCAAUAGUCAGGAAUCAUCCAGACAUCCAUCCUGAGGCAAUAAGGGUAGAGUCAUGGUUCAAAUAAAGUCCCAUUCUGUUCAGCGACUUGAU
ensembl:lncRNA